rnacentral:rRNA from 1 species
UACGGGGGGAGGCAAGCGUUGUUCGGAUUUACUGGGCGUAAAGGGGUGCGUAGGCGGCGCGGUAAGUCGGGUGUGAAAUCUCGGGGCUUAACUCCGAAACUGCAUUCGAUACUACCGUGCUUGAGGACUGGAGAGGAGACUGGAAUUUACGGUGUAGCGGUGAAAUGCGUAGAUAUCGUAAGGAAGACCAGUGGCGAAGGCGGGUCUCUGGACAGUUCCUGACGCUGAGGCACGAAGGUCAGGGGAGCAAAACGGG